GUGUUUUCAGCGCCCCGCGCUGCCCAGGAGCCGCUUCUUGGCGGGCACCCCGCGCCAUAGACAUCAUAUAUAAAGGCUAGACGUCUCAUGGCGCAGUCAAUUCCGGCAUCACCGGUGGCCAUCUUGUCACAGGCAGGCUUCUUGGCGGGCUCUGUGGUACCUGAUGUAAGGUUCAGCCAGGACCACUUGGAGCUUCUCUUCAACUCCUUUAGAGCAUCUGAGAGCCUGUCAGCUGUAGAUGUGUCCUCUGCAGCAGGAGGAGAAGAUCUUCCAUCCCCUUUUGCUGACAGUCCUGCCCUAGUACAUGAUCACAGCUACCUUCCCGUCAACUUCGAUGGUCUUGUGGACAACGCUCUCAUGUACAUUUCAG
ensembl:lncRNA